GAGAGUUUUGAAGUCAGAAAGUGUAUACCAACAUCUACAAGCCACAGAUCUUUUGGAGUUCAUGCAACAUACAAUAGUCACAGCUACACUCCAACUCUGUCCAGAUCACCACAACACUUCCACCGGCCAGAUGACGGCUUCAACAUGUACAGGAGGCCUCCAAUUUAUAAACAGCAAGAUCCAAAUUCCUUCACAUCCCAAACGUCCUCUCUGCCUGGAUACGGUCGCAAUGGCCUCAAUCCGCCACGUUCAGCUGAUUUCUCCCAUUACAGCGGUGACAGAUUCGGAGGUAACUAUGUAGACA
rnacentral:lncRNA from 1 species